rnacentral:tRNA from 1 species
AACCUCGUAACUCAGUUGGGAGAGUGCCUCUCUUACAAAGAGGAAGUCGCAGGUUCAAACCCUGCCGAGGUUACCA